CACGUAGGAGGCUAACGUUAUCCGGAUUUACUGGGCGUAAAGCGCGUGCAGGCUGUUCGGUAAGUUGGGCGUGAAAGCUCCCGGCUCAACUGGGAGACGUCGUUCAAUACUGUCGGACUAGAGGAUGGUAGAGGGAGGUGGAAUUCCGGGUGUAGUGGUGAAAUGCGCAGAUAUCCGGAGGAACACCAGUGGCGAAAGCGGCCUCCUGGACCAUUCCUGACGCUCAGACGCGAAAGCUAGGGUAGCGAACGGGAUUAGAGACCCCGGUAGUCCUAGCUGUAAACGAUGUGAACUUGGCGUCGGUGGGAUUAAAUCCAUCGGUGUCGAAGCUAACGCGAUAAGUUCACCGCCUGAGGACUACGGCCGCAAGGUUAAA
rnacentral:rRNA from 1 species